rnacentral:rRNA from 1 species
GUCCACGCCGUAAAACGAUGUCAACUAGCCGUUGGAAGCCUUGAGCUUUUAGUGGCGCAGCUAACGCAUUAAGUUGACCGCCUGGGGAGUACGGCCGCAAGGUUAAAACUCAAAUGAAUUGACGGGGGGCCCGCACAAGCGGUGGAGCAUGUGGUUUAAUUCGAAGCAACGCGAAGAACCUUACCAGGCCUUGACAUCCAAUGAACUUUCCAGAGAUGGAUUGGUGCCUUCGGGAACAUUGAGACAGGUGCUGCAUGGCUGUCGU